rnacentral:rRNA from 1 species
AGUAGUUAUAUACUUAUCUUAAAGAUUAAGCUAUGUAUGUCUAAGUAUAAGUAAUUGUAUAGUAAAACUGCGAAUGGCUCAUUAUAUAAGUUAUUGUUUAUUUGAUAGUACCUUACUAUAUGGAUAACCGUGGUAAUUCUAGAGCUAAUAUAUGCUGAAAAUCCCGACUCCAGAAGGGAUGUAUUUAUUAGAUUAAAAACCAAUGCCCUCUGGGCUCCCUAGUAAUUUAUAAUAACUGCUUAAAUUACAUAGCCUUGCGCUGGCGAUGGUUUAUUUAAAUUUCUUCCCUAUUAACUUUUGAUGUUUGGGUAGUGGCUAAACAUGGUGGCAACGGGUAACGGAGGGUUAGGGCUUAACCCUGGAGAAGGAGCCUGAGAAACGGCUACUACAUCCAAGGAAGGCAGCAGGCGUGCAAAUUACCCAAUCCCGACCCGGGGAGGUAGUAACAAUAAAUACCAAUACAGGGCUCUUUUAGGUCUUGUAAUUAAAAUAAGUAUAAUUUAAAUCCCUUAACGAGGAACAAUUAGAGGACAAGUCUGGUGCCAGCAGCCGCGGUAAUUCCAGCUCCAAUAGCGUAUAUUAAAGUUGCCCCUGGGCAUGGAGAAGAAAAUUGUCAGAAAGCAUUGCACCGAAAGGUUUUGAUCGAUCAGCUAUCCCAAACACAAACACCUCAACGUAUAUAAGAUAACGUUACCGUCCGGCCGUAGCUAAGGUACCGCCCUUAGGCCCCCCCUGAAGUAACAGGGAGCCCGUCCCAGUGGGAUACGGGGAAUACAGUUCCAGUAACUUUGUCCGCACAAUUUUUCUCCAUUGUUGGAUCCACCUUCUCGUGGUCAGGGGUGUUACGGUAUUAAGAAAUCGUGGAAGACUUUGCACUGAUCGCAAUCGCUACGUUUGAUACCAACCGAGAGAUCCAACGCCUGUGCCAGAGUGGCUGACUCCCAUAAUGGCAUCAGGCAAAGCAACAAAAAUUAAGGUGAAGAAAUCCAAGAUGCCGUCUACUGAAGCCCCAGCGGUGGAAUCGGAGGGGAUGGACGUUGAUUUUGACUUCAACACGCCAGUGGCUGAAAAGCCGAAUCCUC